rnacentral:lncRNA from 10 species
AAAGAAAAGACAUUUACCUUAUAUUAAUAAUGACCAACUAGGGGAAACAAGGGAAACGACGAUAAGCAUGGGACUUGAGCAUCCUUGGGUUUCCAUAUCUGUGGGGGCUCCUGGAACCAACCCCCAGGGAUACUGAGAGACAACUGACAGACCAAGUGCUGAGAGUCACAGAUGAAGAUCAGGUACUUCUGCCUGGAGGUACUUCUGCCUGGAGGAACAAGGGGCAAGAAUCGUCAUGGAAGGCCUCAGAGAGGAGGCAUCGUUGAGAACAGUUUUCCAGAUACAGAAAAAGAAUUAAGAGAACCCUAGAUAGAAAUAGUAUGUAAAAUGGCAUAGAAAUCCAAAAAUACAUGAGAAACUGGGUCUAAUUUAUUUGUUUGACCAAAGGCAUCUGAAAGGGAGUAGCUGGAAACGCAUGUGGAAAGGUAGAGGAGAGGCAGGAUGUGAAAGGAGCUUGUCCUAGCACAAGGUGAGAGAUCUGAACUUUAUAUUGCAGGCAGCAGGAGAAGCACUGAAUGUAAG